rnacentral:lncRNA from 1 species
AUAACCAUUCCUUUUCAGAGGGCUGUAUGCAGGCGGUGGAGAGCAGGAGCGCUCGGCCUGAGCAUUGUUCCUACAGAUUCUCCCUGAAGGAGCCUAGCCUGUGACCUCAAAUCAUGCUAGCCGGCAGCUCAACGUCGCUCUGCAAGGAGAACGAUGGCAGGUGGAUCACACAAUGCGUCCAAGAGGAACUGAAUGUUACGCUGGAUGCCAGCCGUAGGGCUGUAUGCAGGCUGUGGAGAGCUGGGGUGCUCAGCCUGAACCUUUGUUCCUACAGAUUCUUGCUGAUGGAGCCUAGGCUGAGACUGAUGUCACAUCAUGCCAGCCGGCAGGUCAAGGUCCCUCUGCAAGGAGAACGAUGCCAUGUGGUUCUCACAAUGCAUCAAAGAAGGACUAAAUGUUACACUGUAUGCCAGCCAUGUGAGUGCAGGUUUCAUAGUUGCAAAAUGUACCUCAACUGUCCUGUCCUCAAAGUCCAGGGGCCUAGCAGUCUCCCAGUGUGAUCAUGAGCUCCUCAAGUUGCUCCUGCCUGCAAUUCAUUAGGAGUGUGACAUUUCGCCCAUACUAGGUAAAACGUAUUGCUUCAACUCUUUCAUUCCGUGUGGAUGGGAGGUUCAGUGCAAGACUCAGCAUUUAACGUUGUAGCCUUGGCUCAUGUCUGUGGCAAGUUCCGGCUCAGUGCAUAUUAUUCCAU